rnacentral:lncRNA from 1 species
CAGCCCUCUGCUUCUCUUUUAGACACAAGCACAUGUUCCUGAAAGGAGGACUUUGUCAUGUUUUGUGGGCCCUCCNGGCCUGGCCUGCAGGAGCCAGGGCCCAUGCAGGGCAGUGUCACUCAGUCACACAUACUAAUACCACCCCUGUCCAUCUUCACCCUAGCUGGCUGUGCAUCUGGAUUCAGUGUUGGAGUCAAGGUUGCCGUGAGAUCCCCGAGUACCUGGAGCUCACGUUUACCCAGCCAUGUUCCCUUGGCCUCAGUCAAGUCUGGGCCCUCCAGAUGCCCUACUCAAUUGGCCUCUUGCAGACUUCUGCUCUCCCCUGCUGAACUUAGCCUGGGACCUUGCUUUGACCUCAUAGGUUUUUCUGGAACCAUCUGGCUCCCUCAGAAACUCCUGUGGUGUGUACCCACCUCUUCACUGAGCUCCUCAAACUGUGAACCCAAACCAGAGCCACCCCAACCCUCAGGCCCAAGGUUGGGAUGGGUGCUGGUUCUGAGCCUAGGCCCCAGAAUCUUCUCAUGACAACUGCUCCUAAAUUUGUUCCUCG